CUACGGGCUGCAGCAGUGGGGAAUAUUGCACAAUGGAGGAAACUCUGAUGCAGCAACGCCGCGUGGAGGAUGACACUUUUCGGAGCGUAAACUCCUUUUAUAUAGGAAGAAGAUGACGGUACCAUAUGAAUAAGCGCCGGCUAACUCCGUGCCAGCAGCCGCGGUAAUACGGAGGGCGCAAGCGUUACUCGGAAUCACUGGGCGUAAAGAGCGUGUAGGCGGAUUAAAAAGUCAGAAGUGAAAUCCUAUAGCUUAACUAUAGAACUGCUUCUGAAACUCUUAAUCUAGAAUAUGGGAGAGGUAGACGGAAUUUCUGGUGUAGGGGUAAAAUCCGUAGAGAUCAGAAGGAAUACCGAUUGCGAAGGCGAUCUACUAGAACAUUAUUGACGCUGAGACGCGAAAGCGUGGGGAGCAAACAGGAUUAGAUACCCUAGUAGUC
rnacentral:rRNA from 1 species